rnacentral:lncRNA from 1 species
AUGGAUCUCAUGAGUGAGUUGAGCAAGCUGGUCGGAUAUGGUUUGGAGAGUAGGCUCUUGGGACGAACGAGCACGACGGGGUGGACGACUUGAAGAAGAAGCUGGAGCAUGAUCACCAUCAUGAUGGAAAGAUGACUCCGAGAUUUCCCAAAUUUUGGUACUCCUUUUGAGAGGACCAUUUUCCGUGACAAAACCGGAUGCUUCAAGGAAGUUCAUAAUGAGGAGGGCAUAAGGAAGAGGCAUGUCAUCACCGAUG